UACGGAAGGGGCAAGCGUUGUUCGGAAUCAUUGGGCGUAAAGGGCGCGUAGGCGGUUCUGUAUGUCUACCGUGAAAGCGUACGGCUCAACCGUAUUUUGUCGGUAGAAACUGCAGGACUUGAGGCUGGGAGGGGCUGGUGGAAUUCCCUGUGUAGCGGUGAAAUGCGUAGAGAUGGGGGAGAACACUCGUGGCGAAGGCGGCCAGCUAGACCAGUUCUGACACUGAGGCGCGACAGCGUGGGGAGCAAACAGG
rnacentral:rRNA from 1 species